CCUACGGGGGGCAGCAGUGAGGAAUAUUGGUCAAUGGGCGGGAGCCUGAACCAGCCAAGCCGCGUGAGGGAAGAAGGUACAGCGUAUCGUAAACCUCUUUUGUCAGGGAACAAAGGCGGGGACUAGUCCCCGGAUGAGGGUACCUUAAGAAAAAGCAUCGGCUAACUCCGUGCCAGCAGCCGCGGUAAUACGGAGGAUGCGAGCGUUAUCCGGAUUUAUGGGGUUUAAAGGGUGCGAAGGCGGCCUGUUAAGUCAGCGGGAAAAGCCCGGGGCUCAACCCCGGCGAGCCGUUGAAACUGGGGGGCUGGAGUUGGAGAGAGGUACGCGGAAUGCGUGGUGUAGCGGUGAAAUGCUUAGAUAUCGCGCAGAACCCCGAUUGCGAAGGCAGCGUGCCGGCUCCACACUGACGCUGAGGCACGAAAGCGUGGGUAUCGAACAGGAUUAGAUACCCGGGUAGUC
rnacentral:rRNA from 1 species